rnacentral:rRNA from 1 species
AGAGUUUGAUCCUGGCUCAGGAUGAACGCUGGCGGAGUGCCUAACACAUGCAAGUCGAGCGGCAGCGCGAGUAGUUUACUACUUGGCGGCGAGCGGCGGACGGCUGAGUAACGCGUGGGAACAUGCCCCAAAGUGAGGAAUAACUGCCCGAAAGGGUAGCUAAUGCCGCAUACGAUCUUCGGAUUAAAGGAUUUAUCCGCUUUGGGAGUGGCCUGCGUACGAUUAGAUAGUUGGUGAGGUAAUGGCUCACCAAGUCUACGAUCGUUAACUGGUUUGAGAGGAUGAUCAGUCAGACUGGAACUGAGACACGGUCCAGACUCCUACGGGAGGCAGCAGUGAGGAAUCUUCCACAAUGGACGAAAGUCUGAUGGAGCAACUCCGCGUGCAGGAUGAAGGCCUUCGGGUCGUAAACUGCUUUUAUGAGUGAAGAAUAUGACGGUAACUCAUGAAUAAGGGUCGGCUAACUACGUG